UUAACAGUUAAAACACUCAAUAAAAAAAUUGUAAAAUUCUCAAUUAAACUUUAACAUUUCAAGUUUUUGGCAACACUGAUAGGAAGAAUAACUAAACUGGCAGCCAAAGAUUAUCUGUCACAGAAAAAGGCGCGAAAUAAAGACAGUCUUUUAGACAUUGGUUAUUCACUGUCGCGGUCGGUGUCGGAACUGAAAACUGCCCAGAAUAUUGAAGUACACCGACGACGAGCAGCAAGCUUCACUCUUCCCGUUGGUGCUCCAGUAACUUCUGCAGUAACUCUUCCAGCAGCAUAAGAAGCCUUGCCGAAAACGAUCGCACCAAGCACCGCAUUGCGUACAUUCUCGAGGAUCACAACCUGAGCUUCUUGAUCCGGGCUGCAUCGCGAUAUUCUGCUAUAGGAUAAAGGUCUGCUGGUGAAAUAUUGACCUUUCCAAAGGCAUCCCUCUGCGAUGGUUCCGAAAGUAGAAAUGAGUGUCAUCGAGAAGGACUCUUUCCUGCGCUACAAUGAGGACAUCGAUGGCAUGUACCCGGACAAAAGUGAAGUCGGCAUCAUAAACCAUGUCUAAAUCCAUAUGACAAUUCAACAAUUCAAUAUCAUUUCAUCAGCUGAUAAAUCAGCAGGAGCAGCAUAAAAUUACUGUUUGUUUUUUAUAAUGUAAAUAUAAAAUGGUAUGAAUGAAAAAUAAAAUGUGAAAAAUUCAAA